UAGUUGUGGUAGUUGUAGAAUGUGGUGGUUGUGGAACAGAGGUUAGAGUUGAAUAAUGAGGAGGGGAUGAGUACGGUAGUGGUGGUGUGUGAGGAGAAGUAAUCAUGGCUGUGGAGACUUGUGAUGUUGAGGGGGUGGGUGGGAUGGGUAGAGUUAGGCUCGGCCAAGCUGAGGCUGGGGCGGAGAUGGUGCCAAAGGUGAUGGCAGGUGAACUGGUUUUGGUUUGCGAUGGUGGUGGUUGGCUUUGGGCGCUGCCAUUUGGGUUGAAGGUUUUGGAAUGAGUCUUGUUUUUUAUUCAUGGCAUCUAUAAAGUGAUGGAACUCUGCUUGUAGCAGCUCGAAGGACUGGUGGAGUUCUUCCACAUGGAAUGGUGUAAUUUCCUCAAGUUGGUAUGAAGAAGAGGCAAGGAGUUGUGUUUGUGGUGUUUCGGUUAUUGGGGUGAUGAAGGCAGAGGUGGUUAGGGUGGUGGAGGGAUUUAAAACCUAAAGGUUUCUUGCCGGAGCCAUCCGGCUCUGAUACCAGAUGUUGGGAACCAAAUUAAGAGAAUUGGAAAAUCAGGAAUUCAAAGAUUAAUCAUAUUUUUCAUAGCCAAUCUUGGGCAAUUCGUUUACAACAUAUAGGAGUUGCUGCAACUAGACAAAAGAGAAAGAAGACAACAAUGGAGAAGAGAGGCGAUUCUGGGUUAUUGGUUUGCUAAAUCCGAGCCCACCGCCAACAAUACUUCCAAUUACGAGUUAUGCUUUUUGGCUAGACUUGCACAAGGAGAGAACAAGGUGUGGACUGCUAUUCUCCAUCAAAUUCUGACGCAAAUUCUUUUUCCAAACUUGGUUAUGUAUAAGAUAAAUUAUGGGUUUGUACACCCUCUAGAUAAAACCCUUUGAGCCUACAUUAAGCCUUUUCUUUCAUCACCCUCAUAAUCCUUAACCCCUAAACCUUAGUAUAGUUUUAUCCUUACCCAUGUUCUAAAGACUUAGUGGAGCUAAUUUUUGAGACAUACAAGAGGUUUUUGGCGUCAAGAAU